AGUUGACCAAAAACUGAUUCGUAAUCCAGUUGGUACUAAUGUUGGAGAGGGGUCCCUGGUCAAAAAAGGUCACGAACCACUGAGCUAGAGAAUGGAUUGCGCUUUUGACCACAAAAAGAACAAUAUAUUUAGGAGCCUUGUUUUUGAAAAAUUCUAGGCAACUCUACAGAUUGCAGAGGUUUCAGAUCCCCAUUUCCCCUCCUUUUCCCUCUGCAGGUCUCCUGCAGGUCUCCUUGCCCUCUUCUGUGUGUGGCCAGGCAUCUUUGACCUUCAGGGCCCAAUCCCACAAUGCCAGGGGUCAAAGGGGAUGGUCGCAAGGGUCGGUGAAGCCAAAGGGUUUCAGAAGGCAAAGACUCAGAACCCGGACCCUUCCCCCGGCAGAGAAGGCUGUCCUGCGGAAGGAGGGAGGCUGCAGGGUGGGAGUGGCAGAAGAGGCUCCAGGCUGAAGUGGAAAAGAACCUGCAGGUGCAGAAAGGUGAGGCGGACUUGGGAGUUGAAAAAGCCACCCUCGGCUUAUACUUGGGUGCUUUCCUGCCAGGACCC
rnacentral:lncRNA from 11 species